rnacentral:rRNA from 1 species
UUCAGUGCCUUAUGAGAAAUCAAAGUCUUUGGGUUCUGGGGCGAGUAUUCGCGCAAGCGAGAAAGUUAAAAGAAUUGACGGAAGGGCACCACCAGGCGUGGAGCUUGCGGCUUAAUUUGACUCAACACGGGAAAACUCACUAGUUUAAGACAAGAGUAGGAUUGACAGAUUAAUAGCUCUUUCUUGAUUUCUUGGAUGGUGAUGCAUGGCCGUUUUUAGUUCGUGAAUAUGAUUUGUCUGGUUAAUUCCGAUAACGAACGAGAUCUUAACCUGCUAAUUAGCGGCAAAUACGAUAUAUUCUUACGUGGGACUGAAUUCGGUUGAUUUGCUUACUUCGAAGAAAAUAUUGGGAUACGUAAAGUUUCCCUUUCCCUUUUCUACUUAGUUCGCUUUUCAUACUGUUUCUUUUUCGCGUAAGAAUGUAUUUGCUUGAUUGUAAAGCUUCUUAGAGGAACGAUGUGUGUCUAACACAAGGAAGUUUAAGGCAACAACAGGUCUGUGAUGUCCUUAGAUGAACUAGGCUGCACGCGUGCUACACUGAUAUGUAUAACGAGUUAUUAAAAUUACGAUUCAGCUUGCUGUUUCGUAUUUUUCCUCCACUGAAAAGUGUAGGUAAUCUUUAUCAGUACAUAUCGUGAUGGGGAUAGAUUAUUGCAAUUAUUAAUCUUGAACGAGGAAUGCCUAGUAAGCAUGAUUCAUCAGAUUGUGCUGACUACGUCCCUGCCCUUUGUACACACCGCCCGUCGCUCCUACCGAUUGAAAGAUAUGAUGAAUUGUUUGGACAAGAAGAAGGGGGAUUAUAUCUCCUUUUUUCUGGAAAAACCGUAAAUCCUAUCUUUUAAAGGAAGGAGAAGUCGUAACAAGGUUUCCGUAGGUGAACCUGCGGAAGGAUCAUUA